UACGUAGGGGGCUAGCGUUGUCCGGAAUCAUUGGGCGUAAAGCGCGUGUAGGCGGCCCGGUAAGUCCGCUGUGAAAGUCGGGGGCUCAACCCUCGGAUGCCGGUGGAUACUGUCGGGCUUGAGUACGGAAGAGGCGAGUGGAAUUCCUGGUGUAGCGGUGAAAUGCGCAGAUAUCAGGAGGAACACCCGUAGCGAAGGCGGCACUCUGGGCCGGUACUGACGCUGAGGAGCGAAAGCGUGGGGAGCAAACAGG
rnacentral:rRNA from 1 species